UGAGUAACCUGCCCUUAACUCUGGGAUAAGCCUGGGAAACUGGGUCUAAUACCGGAUAUGACUCCUCAUCGCAUGGGUGGGGGGUGGAAAGCUUUAUUGUUGGUUUUGGAUGGACUCGCGGCCUAUCAGCUUGUUGGUGAGGUAAUAGCUCACCAAGGCGAUGGACGGGUAGCCGGCCUGAGAGGGUGACCGGCCACACGUGGGACUGAGACACGGCCCAAACUCCGUACGGGAGCAG
rnacentral:rRNA from 1 species